rnacentral:RNase_MRP_RNA from 14 species
UUCUGGCGGAGCCUUGGUGGCAGGCUUGGGCCCUUCGCAGCAGCACAGACAGGCCGUGAGCGCUCGCGAUGGGAGCGCCAACAGAACGGGGCUCACUCUCC